rnacentral:rRNA from 1 species
AAAUGAAUAGACGGGGGCCCGCACAAGCGGUGGAGCAUGUGGUUUAAUUCGAAGCAACGCGAAGAACCUUACCAGGCCUUGACAUCAUCCGGAAAGCCGUGGAAACACGGCCCUCCUUCGGGACUGGAUGACAGGUGGUGCAUGGUCGUCGUCAGCUCGUGUCGUGAGAUGUUGGGUUAAGUCCCGCAACGAGCGCAACCCCCGCGCUUAGUUGCCAGCACUUCGGGUGGGCACUCUAAGCGGACUGCCGGUGACAAACCGGAGGAAGGUGGGGACGACGUCAGAUCAUCAUGCCCCUUAUGGUCUGGGCUACACACGUGCUACAAUGGCCGGUACAGACGGAAGCGAAAGGGCGACCUGGAGCGAAUCCGAGAAAGCCGGUCUCAGUUCGGAUUGCAGGCUGCAACUCGCCUGCAUGAAGGCGGAAUCGCUAGUAAUCGCAGGUCAGCAUACUGCGGUGAAUACGUUCCCGGGCCUUGUACACACCGCCCGU